rnacentral:rRNA from 1 species
GGACCCGCACAAGUAGUGGAGCAUGUGGUUUAAUUCGAAGAUACGCGCAGAACCUUACCAACACUUGACAUGUUCGUCGCGACUUUAAGAGAUUAAAGUUUUCGGUUCGGCCGGACGAAACACAGGUGCUGCAUGGCUGUCGUCAGCUCGUGUCGUGAGAUGUUGGUUAAGUCCCGCAACGAGCGCAACCCUCACUUUUAGUUGCCAUCAUUUAGUUGGGCACUCUGAAAGAACUGCCAGUGAUAAGCUGGAGGAAGGUGGGGAUGACGUCAAGUCCUCAUGGCCCUUACGUGUUGGGCUACACACGUGCUACAAUGGUAUCUACAACAGGAAGCAAAACUGCGAAGUUAGCAAAA